rnacentral:lncRNA from 1 species
AAUUGAUGGAGGUUCUUUUACAAUUAUAUAUAUAUAUCCCUAUGACUGAUUUGUGAUUUCUGAUGUUUAUUACAUAUUGCAAAUAACCAUACUAAAAACAAAGACCUCUUUAUGUGUCUAUAGGUCUCUCUAUUAAUUUCAUGAUGAAUGUUCUAUAAAAUAUAUUAUCCACCCAGGUGCAGAAGUCAAAGCUGGGCCUUCUCCCACAUAGAGGGAGCUGUGAAAACCAGAGUGAACACUUCUUCAUGGUUGGAGCAUACCCUAGAUUUCAUUUCAGUUAACACUGGCCAAAAUUUCUCCAUAGUGCAACUCCAAGCCUGGAUUUGACCUUUCAGCUGAAGCUACCGACAAAGGUUUCCAUCUAAUGGUGAUUUUGGUGGCAGUUGCUGUGACAAGCCCAUCCAUCUACAGCCUUCUACCACUUGCAUCUUCCCAAUAACUGAAUACCCACUUCAUUAUUACGACCUGCACUGAGCAACAGAUUUUUAUGAGUUAACACCUGUGUAGCCCUCAGAGAAAGCCUGGACUUCUCUACUUCACUGUAAUAUAUUGGCUGCUGUCCUGCACUUUAUGGAGCAAAAUACCAGUGUUCAGUAUAACAAAUUCCCCACCAAAAUAAAUUAGUUUAGUGAUCAUCA